UCGAGAAUCUUCGGCAAUGGGCGCAAGCCUGACCGAGCGACGCCGCGUGCGGGAUGAAGGCCUUCGGGUUGUAAACCGCUGUCGGAGGGGAGGAAAUGCGCGGGGGUUCUCCCUCGCGUUUGACCUAGCCUCAGAGGAAGGACGGGCUAAGUUCGUGCCAGCAGCCGCGGUAAGACGAACCGUCCAAACGUUACUCGGAAUUACUGGGCUUAAAGGGUGCGUAGGCGGCUCAGAAAGUUGGGUGUGAAAGCCCUCGGCUUAACCGAGGAGGGUCGCCCAAAACUACUGAGCUUGAGGAAGACAGAGGUGCGCGGAACUUGCGGUGGAGCGGUGAAAUGCGUUGAUAUCGCAAGGAACACCAGGGGCGAAAGCGACGCACUGGGUCUUUUCUGACGCUGAGGCACGAAAGCUAGGGGAGCGAAGAG
rnacentral:rRNA from 1 species